UGGGGAAUAUUGCACAAUGGGCGCAAGCCUGAUGCAGCCAUGCCGCGUGUGUGAAGAAGGCCUUCGGGUUGUAAAGUACUUUCAGCGGGGAGGAAGGGAGUAAAGUUAAUACCUUUGCUCAUUGACGUUACCCGCAGAAGAAGCACCGGCUAACUCCGUGCCAGCAGCCGCGGUAAUACGGAGGGUGCAAGCGUUAAUCGGAAUUACUGGGCGUAAAGCGCACGCAGGCGGUUUGUUAAGUCAGAUGUGAAAUCCCCGGGCUCAACCUGGGAACUGCAUCUGAUACUGGAAAGCUUGAGUCUCGUAGAGGGGGGUAGAAUUCCAGGUGUAGCAGUGAAAUGCGUAGAGAUCUGGAGGAAUACCGGUGGCGAAGGCGGCCCCCUGGACGAAGACUGACGCUCAGGUGCGAAAGCGUGGGGAGCAAACAGG
rnacentral:rRNA from 1 species